UAUUGACAAGGUAGCACUAAUUUUUUUGCUGUUUCUGGGAUCUAACUGUCUUACCCAUCUGUGUUCAGCCUGAGCUAAACAAUCCAUGUUCUCAGCAGUCAGUUGAUCCUCUGCAGCCUUAUCUAAUGUCCUGCAACUAUUUCUGACCUUGUCAUGCAGUGGCCAUUGACUUUGUACUGUUCUUUCUCCAGUACCUCUGUUCAAGAGUUUGCAGAUGCCAAAAUGAUGUGAGCCAUUGCAGUUCCAGUAUCUUUUUCCAAAUACUAGAUGAUGUCUUGGCUUCACUUAUUCACAAACUAUGUCUUGUUUUUGUGGACUCUGAUACUGUUGCCACAGGUCUCAUUUUCCGUACGCAGUCUUUCGUAUCUGCCAGAACUAUCCCAGCUCCCUGAGUUUCAGCUUGGGUAGAGUGGCUUCCUUUUCUUCACAGGUUGUAGUUGGGUUAUUCUUUCAUCUGUUAACAAUCUCUCUCUGUUUCUCUCUAGUGACACUAUAAUAUCUUAAUAUUAUCUUAAUAUCUUCUUGACCCUCUCAUAUCACCAUGUAUUUUCAGCUAUCAAUUAGUAAUAGAAUAUUUUCAUCAUUUUAUUUUUCUGUACUGUUUUACACUAUAGUACUCCUUUACAUUUAAUAGCGUGCCUCUACUGCCUGAGUUAACUAAGCUAUAUAAAUCACCUGUGGCUUCAGAGUCAGCUGUUACCUGAAAGGAGACCAUUUUCUUGUUGGCUAGAAAGAAAACCUACUGCUUAAACUUUCUUUAUCUCUACUCUGUCAUUUGGAAGGGCUUUGAUUUUGCGUUCUUCACUCUUAAUGGCAACAUCACUUAAUGCUGGAGCCUGGUUUGCCAGUGAGAGUGUGACUGAUGUGUAUCAGAGCCUCUUCAAGGUUGCUGCACUACUUGCUCAAUUUGACUGUCCUAGCGGCUUGGAAACCUUGUCAGAUGAUUUUCAGCAGGAGUGAUUCCUUCAGUGCUGCCACACCAGUGGAGAUUACAGUUGGAUCUCCUUCCAUACAAGUCACUACAGCGGAGCAGAUCCUUUGGCUGUGUUUCCUGUCAUCAGGUGUCACCCCAGCUAGAUGUCUGCAAGGAAGCGCACUUGUUGCCUCAGAUUCAGUGUUAUGUCCAGGCCUGCUGCAGAUCUCCUCUCCUCAGAAUUUCACCCAUUGCUCGUGAGAAUUUCAACUUCAGGGUAAAUAAAUAUUUUGGGUCAGGUCUUAAAAACA
rnacentral:lncRNA from 1 species